GUUCGCUUUGGCACAUAUGUAUACUAAAAUUGGAAUGAUGCAAAGAAGAUUAGCAUGACCUCUGUGCAAAGACAAAGAGCAAAUUUGUGAAACAUUCCAUAUUUUU